AUGCAGACAACUGUUCCUUGUAAUGGAGAUGAGCCUAUCGUUGAGGAUGAUGAUGACGACGAUGAGGACGAUGAUGAGGAUGAGGAUGAAAAAGAUGACGAUGGCGUUGCGGGAGUUGAUGCUAGUGGAAGAUCUAGGCAGAGUAGGAGCGAGAAGAAGAGCAGGAAAGCCAUGGAGAAGCUUGGCAUGAAGGCCAUUACUGGUGUGAGCCGUGUAACUAUCAAGAAGAACAAGAGCGUUUUGUUUGUCCUCUCCAAGCCAGAUGUCUUCAAGAGCUCAAACUCAGAUACCUACGUCAUGUUCGGGGAGGCCAAGAUUGAGGACCUGAGCACUCAGCUGCAUUCACAAGCGGCGGAGCAGUUCAAGGCGCCGAGCCCGAGCAGCGUCAUCUCGAAGGGCGAGCCGUCCAUGGCAGCAGCCCAUGACGACGAGGAGGUUGAUGAGACUGGUGUUGACAAGAAGGACGUUGAGCUCGUGAUGACGCAGGCCUCCGUGCCGAGGUCCAGGACUGUGAAGGCACUCAAGGCUGCGGGCGGUGACAUUGUCAGUGCCAUCAUGGAGUUGACUAACUAG
rnacentral:rRNA from 1 species